GGCAUAAUCAGGGGAGGUGUGUUGAAGACAUUGGGUUUUGAAAAAUGCACAGUACUCAGGAAUAUAAAUAGGAGAAUCUCUACUCUGAUUUGAAUGUAAAAUAUUUCAGACUGAGAUGAACAAAAGAUCACAAGAAAAUUAGUAAAACUAGUGUUUCGAGUUAGAAAGACAUUACUCAUCAGACUGUAAGAGGCUAAGUUUGAGACGUGAGUUGACACUAAACAGGUCACAUAUGUGAUGGUUUUACAUAUGAUAAAAUAUUUUUUGAAGUUAAAUACAUACUGAAUAUUUUUUGUUUGCUCCUCUAGAUGCACUUUUUACUCUUCUUAACUCUGUUUUCUACUCUGGUUCCUGAGCUAAUAGACUGAUUCUAUCAUUUCUGGUUAGGUUGGGCUAAUAGAAGGCACUAGCGUGGGACCUGGAAGGCACAGGAUGGUCAGGUUGGGAUAUUUGGUCUCCAGCUACCUCCAUGCUGGUUUUCUGAGAGUAAGUACACCACAGUAGCAGAAGCUCAAGCCCUACUUGUAGUUGUCUUCUUGGGUUCUGGUAAUUCUCCUUCCUCUUGUCCUUUCAGGUCCAGCAGAGGGCCCAAAUCCUCCACUAGUAAGCCCUUCCCAUGCUGGCUGGCUUUCCUAAAUCUGGCGCAAAUCUUUGUGUCAUGUCUUUUGUCAGGAGCUCAGCUGAACUGUGAGAGGGAAAUGAGCUGCUAAGUGUCAGAAAAGCCAGUAAAAAGCAACAAGUCAAGAGUGGAAAGAGGUAAGCCUUUCAAGAACCUAAAACUGGGGAAAUUGCCACUACAGCUUGGGAAAUUGCACUGGAUCAACACAGUUGUGAGGGUUGUCUCACUGUGGAGGGAGUCCUCAAACUAAAGACUCUGCCAGUGUUAUGCACAAUGAGGUGAGGUGAGGUGCUGGUGCUGGUGAAGGAGGAAGGCUAAGAGUGGAAAAGUGCUGGGUGCUGAGUCAGAGAGAGAAGUGUCUCUUCAAGGUCUUCUCCUCCUCCCCACAUAAGGAGACCUCAGCAGACAUGGCUGGAGCAGGAGGAAGAGAGAGGGCAGGGAAGGUGCUACACACUUUCAAACAAGCACAUGCCCUGAGGCCUCCAUCACAAGAACAGCACUGAGGGGAUGGUGCUACACACUUUCAAACAAGCACAUGCCCUGAGGCCUCCAUCACAAGAACAGCACUGAGGGGAUGGUGCUAAACCAUUGGAAGCCACCCCCAUGAUCCAAUCUCCUUUAACUAGACCCUACCUUCCCGCAUUGGGAAUUCCAUUUCAAAAUGAGAUUUGGGUGGUAGCAGAUCCCAACCAUAUUAGCAUCAGAUAAAGAGACAUAGGAAUGAAAGCACCAGGCUAGAAAUUUAUCCAAAGAACAUGAUUUGAUAGAGGAGCUCGAGUCCCUGACUGACUUGACUCUUGAGAGACUGCAAUGCUCUGGCUGUGCACCAGGCCUACUGUAAGGAGGGCAGCUUUCCUCUUGAGGCUUGCCAGGUAGCCUUUGUAAUUGCACAUGGUCAGGCAUCAAAAAUCAUACAUAGGUUUUAAACCAAGAGCAAAUCUCCUUAUCUUUCAAGGUCAGCCAGGAACCUAAUCAAUGCAGUUACUGUUGCAGAGCCUCAGAAUGAGAUUCUGAGAUCGGUUUGUUCACAUUUUUGAAGAGCACACAGAAACCUCCUUCUUGGUGUAUAGUUGUGAAUGACAGGGUUAAUCCUUGGCUUACAGUGGUCUCAUAAUUACUCAAAUUAACACCAAUGUCUACUUAGAAGGCAGUGCCGGUGGCAGUAAGAUGUUGGGAGCUCUAUAGCUCUGGCACA
rnacentral:lncRNA from 10 species